AUACUUACCUGGUAGGGGAAACACCAUGAUCAGGAAGGUGGUUUUCCCAGGGCGAGGCACAUCCAUUGCACUUUGGGAUGUGCUGACCCCUGUGAUUUCCCCAAAUGCAGGAAACUCAACUAGAUAAUUUGUGGUAGUGGGGGACUGCAUUCACACUUUCCCCUG
ensembl:snRNA U1 U1 spliceosomal RNA